GGCUCCCUGCGAUUGAUUCUCGAUGGAGGACGAUCUCCCCUUCUCCUUUUCUUCCGGUGGUUCAAUCUGUUCGAAAUCCAUAGGUAACUUCAAUGCAUACCAUUGAACUCACGCUGUUCUAUUCUGUUGUUUAUUUGUUACUACUGCAUUCUGAACUAAAUAUAUAUAUUUUAUUUUCCUCAGUUUAAUGAUGACAUCAUGCACUGAAA